GGCCUAAAUUGCCAAGAUUCCACCUGAAAAACCAACUUCAGUGAGCAGCCUCACCCGAAAUGGUAGGGUCAACUCUCUAAGCAUGGGUGCCACUUCAGGUUUUUAAGUGAGGCUGCUCACUGAAGUCUUAGUAAUUUUGGCCAUCAUGACUCCUUUUAGACAACAUAGUUAUUAAAGGUGCAAGGCACAGUAGUAAGGCAUGAAGAAAUCCUGAGUCCUAAGCACAAGGGGCGCACAUUUGAGAGGAAGGCACAAAAGCAAUAAAAUUAGC
rnacentral:misc_RNA from 1 species